rnacentral:rRNA from 1 species
AGAGUUUGAUCAUGGCUCAGGACGAACGCUGGCGGCGUGCUUAACACAUGCAAGUCGAACGGUCCGGCACUCAACACUGUGCAUCUAAGCCAGGGGGUGGAAGCAACACCUAAGGUUGAAGAAGCAUCAGGAUAUGGGUGCAGAGAGUUGAGUGCCGGAUAGUGGCGGACGGGUGAGUAACGCGUGGGUAACCUACCCAUAAGAGGGGGAUAACAGUUGGAAACGACUGCUAAUACCGCAUAAGCUUCCUAUGUAUAAGUAGGAAGUAAAGAUGGCCUCUGAAUAUGCUAUCGCUUAUGGAUGGGCCCGCGUCUGAUUAGCUAGUUGGUGGGGUAAAGGCCUACCAAGGCGACGAUCAGUAGCCGGCCUGAGAGGGUGGACGGCCACACUGGGACUGAGACACGGCCCAGACUCCUACGGGAGGCAGCAGUGGGGAAUAUUGCGCAAUGGGGGAAACCCUGACGCAGCGACGCCGCGUGAGCGAAGAAGGCCUUCGGGUCAUAAAGCUCUGUUUUAAGGGACGAAGUCUGCAGAGAAUAAUACGCUUUGCAGGUGACGGUACCUUACAAGAAAGCCCCGGCUAACUACGUGCCAGCAGCCGCGGUAAGACGUAGGGGGCGAGCGUUGUCCGGAAUUACUGGGCGUAAAGAGCACGUAGGCGGAUGCUUAAGUCAGGUGUGAAAGACCGCAGCUUAACUGCGGGGUUGCACUUGAAACUGGGUAUCUUGAGGGCAGGAGAGGUCAGUAGAAUUCCUGGUGUAGCGGUGAAAUGCGUAGAAAUCAGGAGGAAUACCAGUGGCGAAAGCGGCUGACUGGACUGACCCUGACGCUGAGGUGCGAAAGCGUGGGUAGCAAACAGGAUUAGAUACCCUGGUAGUCCACGCUGUAAACGAUGGAUACUAGGUGUAGGAGUAUCGACCCCUUCUGUGCCGCAGCUAACGCAAUAAGUAUCCCGCCUGGGGAGUACGUCGCAAGC